rnacentral:rRNA from 1 species
AUGCAAGUCGAACGGUAACAGGGGAGCUUGCUCCCGCUGACGAGUGGCGAACGGGUGAGUAAUGCAUCGGAACGUGCCGAAUAGUGGGGGAUAACGCACCGAAAGGUGUGCUAAUACCGCAUACGCCCUGAGGGGGAAAGUGGGGGACCGCAAGGCCUCACGCUAAUCGAGCGGCCGAUGUCGGAUUAGCUAGUUGGUGGGGUAAAGGCUCACCAAGGCGACGAUCCGUAGCGGGUCUGAGAGGAUGAUCCGCCACACUGGGACUGAGACACGGCCCAGACUCCUACGGGAGGCAGCAGUGGGGAAUUUUGGACAAUGGGGGAAACCCUGAUCCAGCCAUGCCGCGUGUCUGAAGAAGGCCUUCGGGUUGUAAAGGACUUUUGUCCGGGAGGAAACCCUGAUCGUUAAUAGCGGUCGGGACUGACAGUACCGGAAGAAUAAGCACCGGCUAACUACGUGCCAGCAGCCGCGGUAAUACGUAGGGUGCAAGCGUUAAUCGGAAUUACUGGGCGUAAAGCGUGCGCAGGCGGUGAGAUAAGUCAGCUGUGAAAGCCCCGGGCUCAACCUGGGAACUGCGGCCGAAACUGUCUCGCUAGAGUACGUCAG